GGGAAGCUGGAGGCUUUUUCCAGACUCUGUCUCCUCGUAGGUUAUUCUUGUGCUUAUUUCCCUCUGCUGCGAAGGGAAAAUAAAAGCCACAGAGCAUUUUAAGCUGCCGGUGUUGUGUUCCCAGCACAAAACACCUUGAGUAAUUUCCUACCUCUGCCUCCGCAGCGCUGGUGUUGCCUCACCUACGCUUCGAGGGGCCGAGGCGGCUUCCCAGACGGACGGCUCUGCUUCCCGUCUGCUCCCUAAAUACCGGCAUUAUCUCCCUCGUCCCAUCAGGAACCCUAAGUUUGGAAAGACCGGACUUUAUAUAGCAUGAGGGAGCCAGCUGCAGUGAGAUUUAAUGCCUCAUGGAAUUGUUAGGCUGAGAGAGGAGGAGGUUUUGCACCUGAAUAUCCACAGCUUGCCCUGUAAUGGAAAGGGCUUGUCUGCUGACUGGAAAGGCUGCCUGGAUGGCAGCAAUAUCCAGCGUGGAAAAAUCCCUGCAGCUGGCAACAAGCUGAGCUAUCAACACUGACAGGACAUCAGGGUCACUCUUGUAGCAAGGUAAAUAAUCAUAGAAUGGCUUGGGCUAGAAGGGACCCCGAAGAUCAUUUCGCUCCCACCCCCCUGCCAUGGACAGGGAUACCUUGCACUAGACCAGGCUGCUGGAAGCCCCGGAAUGAACACCACCAAAAUCACCUGCAGACACCCAAACAGAAACGUGCUGCAUUUGUUGACUAUUGCCAGUCCAAACCCCAUGAAAUCAGGACUUGAAACUAAGCAAUUAUGAGGAGAAAAAAAGGCUUGGCAAAAAAGUUAUGUUCUACAGCUGAUGAAUAUAGGGCACAUGGUUCAUGAAAUAAAGCUGCAUUUUGUCCGUUUGCUUCUGCAGGGUGCAACAAUCUUGCUCUAUCAGAGGUGCUUUCUUAAAAAUAUAAAACAGAAAUUCAUGAAUAACCAGAUAAACAAAGAAGCCGGUAAUUAAAGAACUUACCAAGCAGCAGAAGACUGAUGAUAACAUCGCAAAAGUUUGUAAUACUGUGUGCCAUCAGUAUAACUAGAAAAAUAGUGGUUUAGCAUCUUCUUUUGUGGUUGAUAUUUGAGCAAUAUCCAACAUAUUUUCAUCUGCCUUUUUGUCUAUGUUUCAAUUUCACUCAGAACUGGUGAGCUCUUUAUGAUACCAGGCUUACUAAGUUCUCCAUAUCACUGCUAUAUCCCUUGUCCUUUCUCUUGACGUCCCUCAUCUCUCUUUCACCAUUAAAAAAUAUAGUUGUCAGACAUAAAAAUUUCACUUCUGCAAUUCUAACCAUUACAAUAUGUGUAUAUGUGCAGAAAAUAGAUGUUCUUCAAAUAAAUGUUCUGUAGCCUUCAGCCAAAGCUUCUUGUCACCUGUAUGGGCACAGAGAUCCUGUGAAGUACAAUCAGCCAGGUACUGUCCAGUUGGAGAGUUGUACGGACAGGUCUGUGUCUGUGGGACUGAAAGAUAAAAUGUCCCAUUGAAUUCACUGUAAGAUUUGUAGGAUCAAGCCCACAAAAACAUGGACAACAGAAAUGGCAGAUGGAAGCUGGAUGGCAACAUCAAUGGGGUAGAGUUGCUGUGGGCCACGUCCCCAGGGUGGUUUUCAUGGCACAAAAAUAAACUUGGGGGCUUGUGCUCUUAACAGAAGGAGUAUCUUUAAAUGUGGCAAUUUCUCCACUUUGCAAUUCCUAAUGUGUACACAGGGUGAUUCUCUGAACACACUUCCAGAGUUUGGUUGAACUUCCCAGAAAAAUCUCCAUUGUGGCAGCCCCUCACACUUUAUCUGAGUACCUCCCCUCCAGGCCUGCUAUCUGCAUUUGUCUAAAGAUAACAGCCUUUUUGGCUGGUUCCUGCAGGGCUGGAAAGCACAGCCCACAGAGCUCUAAUCUCUGCAUGGCUCUCACAGGGAGGAACAACGGCUUUUGUCGUCACUCAGUAAUGAGAUAGCAAACCUCAGAUCGCAAAGAAUAAUCACGCUCCCUACAGGAAUUGUUUCCCAGAGCUGACAAGAAAAUGAGCUCUCCAAUCCAACCCAAAGCACAGAGUGCAUGUUUAAGCUUAGCUUCUGAGGAACACCAGUGACUUCACAUGAUUAAGAAGAAGUGAUGUGUAUGUUUGUGUGCUGUGCUGAAACUGGCCCUCCAGCAGCCUGCUGGGAUGCUAGACUGGGAUACAAAGAGUAGAGCUCUGAGGCUUUGCAGAUCCCUGGAAGCCCAGAGGGGAAAUCAGUAGCACCGUGUCCCUGCAGAGCUUCCCCAAGCUCCCCAGGAGCUGGUUCACAGUCACACCACUCUUGUUCUCUCCAUAAAUCAAAUAAUUUCUCUCCUCCCUCAGCAACAGCUUGUAGUGUAACUUCACUACUUCGAAGUCCAAGGGCUUCAGGGCAUAGCAUGAAUUUGAGUGUUCACUCAGCAUGGUAUCAUGCUUUAACUACAUAUUUAUGAUGAAGGCCCUUUUUCAAUCCCUAGUCCUUGCAAAAACACACAAUUAAAAGGCCAUCCAGGACCUCAAAUUUUCGUUGGUUCAAGUCAGCUCCUCUGCUAUGAUGCCAGCAGAGCCAAGCCAGAUGCCAGAUUGCUUUGGAUUGCAUGGCACUGCACAGAGGUGCAAUUGCUUGGUUUUUUUUCAUUCUGAGGUUAGGGAGGUGUGUUUGAUUUUUUUUAUUUGGUUUCCUUGUUUGGUUUUUAAGAGACAACUGUGGUGCUCUCAAAUAAAAGAUUUGUCAUUGAAAGACAAAUCAGUGGUGCAUAGCCUGGAUAUUUUCACAAUCCCCAUGUACAAGCAGAGGUACAACCUGUGUUUUAAGCUUUGAAGAGGUUGCAGUUCCUGUCUGCCCAGCAUUUCAGAGCAGAAAACUCUGCCUGGUUAAGGCUUUAUUGUAGGGAAUGGGGAAGCAAGACUUGAAUCUAUGAAACAUCUGAGUGCUGAGAACAGCCUGUUCUCAAGGGGCUGACUUGCCAGCAAGAUUCCUCACUGCUUCUCAUUAGGAAGGAUUUAAACUCUUUUCUACAUUGUGCUUGUUGGAUUUGAAGCAUGGGAAGGGGCAGGCAUAUCUACUGUGUUUAACAAUUGCAAGAGAGGAAUCAUCAAGGUAGCUAGCAAACAAAACCAGUCACCCAUACCAGACAAACUGGUAAGUUUGCCACUAAGACUUUUCCCUCAAGAAGGAAGUGAAAUUGUGAAUAACCUCAAAAUUCACCUCACCAGUGGCUCACUUGCUGCUCUAUGCACGCACGUCCAGCAAAAAGACCGGCCCACUCCAAAACAUGAAAGGGUCUUGCAGAAGAGUAUGACUGCCACACAUAAGUAAGAUUACCGCAUCAAUGAUCAUUAUUUAAUUAACAUACAAUUAAUCUACAGGCCGUGCUGCAGCCCACAUUUAUAGUUAUUAAUCCUUCAGGUUUCAGCAAGCUCAAGUAAAGACUCACUUUCAGAGCAGUAUUUUUACUCAAAUAAGAGGUUAUUUGUGAGUGAGGCUACUGCUUCAUAUCCAGUAGCUGCUGUCAGUU